AACGAACGUUGGCGGCGUGGAUUAGGCAUGCAAGUCGCGGGAACCCCAGCAAUGGGGGAACCGGCGUAAGGGGCAGUAAUGCGUGGGUACCUACCCCGGGGUCCGGGAUAGCCGUCCGAGAGGGCGGGUAAUACCGGAUGACCUCGGGAGAGCAAAGCUCCGGCGCCCCGGGAGGGGCCCACGUGAUAUUAGCUAGUUGGUGAGGUGACGGCUCACCAAGGCGGAGAUGUCUAGCGGGUGUGAGAGCACGACCCGCGCCACUCGCACUGAGACACUGGCGAGACACCUACGGGUGGCUGCAGUCGAGGAUCUUCGGCAAUGCGCGCAAGCGCGACCGAGCGACGCCGCGUGGGCGAUGAAGGCCUUCGGGUUGUAAAGCCCUGUCGAGGGGGAGAAAAGCGGGAAACCGUGUGAUCUAUCCCUGGAGGAAGCUCGGGCUAAGUUCGUGCCAGCAGCCGCGGUAAGAC
rnacentral:rRNA from 1 species